CCACCCCUAACUUUACGGCAGAACGUUCUCCGCACAUUUCCGGCAUCAAAGCGACGCCACUUUCCAAACCUCUUGGUGUCGGGGAACGAGGAUGGAGCAAGAGGGAGGGAGAGAGAAAAAGAAGUGGCAUUGCACCCGCCCCCGAGCGGAACGCAAGCCAAUCGCCUCUCUCCGAGGAAUACCGGAAGUACGGCUCUCUCGCAGGCCAGCCUCCACCGCGGGCCUCGGUGGGAGGCUGAGGCAGGUUGCCUAGCAACGGGCGAGCUUGGGCCUGCAUCUCCUGUUGGAGCCUUCCGUAGAGUGGCCCCGUUUUGCGUCCCUUCGCCGGGGGGGAAAUCUAACUUGCUUCUUCUACUCGAAAGAAUUAAUCAUUGAAGAACUGCCCUUAUUGCUGUCAUGUGAAUACAUACAGAGUUAUUGAAAAUACCAGAUUGAUCCAUGAUGGGGACUCCUUUUUUCCUUCUGGGGCAGAUGUACAACGAUGUGCUGGCAGAUGGCCCUUUACCAACAGAUAACCAUGAGUGUGCAGCUCUCCUGGAUCCUUAUGUUUCAGACUUAUCAGGAGAAAACAAGAAAUUGUGUCUAUUUUCUCUUGAGCCUGAUAUCCAGAAAUCUACACUAGACUCUUUGGCCUUCAAGGUGGAUGAUGAAUCUGAAAACGAGAACCAGUCAAGACACCAGACAGAAGAAGUUACGUUACUUCAGUUAACCUUGAUCAAGAUGAUACUUGCUAAAAUGCAGAGCCAAAAAUUGGCCGUUGGAAUAAAAUGCAAGUAUCUUGAGAUUGUUCGAAUCCUUCUUGAAGAAGCCCACAUUGACUCCAAAUUAAUUCAUUUUGUGUGCAGUUCGGAUAAGCAGCUCUCCUAUUUGGCAUCCAAAGCCUUGGUCUCCCUUGUAUGUUUUCAGCUAAAGGAAGAGCAUUUACUGAACAAUGCCUGGCUUGCUUUUUCCUCAGAGGCUUUGUUGGGAUUUCCUAGCGGGGACUGGAUAACAGAAUGCCUGUCAACUCUUACGAACAUGAUAAAAGAGAUUUUGAAAGAUGAGGGCUUCUGCAAAAGAGGAGACUUGAAGAUGGUUCUGAUGCCACUUGAUGAGAUACUCAAAGGCUUUUAUGACUCUGUCAUGUUUUGUUAUUCUGACAUCCCGCAAGAUUAUCCUAUCUCUGCAAAAGCCACAAAUGACUUGAGCAGUUUUCUAGAUGUCCUUGAACUGCUUGUGGCCUCUAGAAUUCAGCUGCCACUGAACCUUUCCUGCCAGCGGAUGUUGUUUUUGAACGCUUCCUUCAUUUUGGGCCUUGCCACUGCGCCUGUUCAUGACUUCAUCAAGAAAAAGUCAAUUGUUUUGCUUAAAAAAUGCAUUCUUCACAAAGCUGGUGAAGACCUAAUAAAAAGAAAAAUGCCUCCUUCCUCCUACCAGGAUUCUUAUAUCAGCGCAGAUACAUCAGUGCUUGCUGGUGCUGUCCUGCAGUCUGUGAAUUCUGGGUGGCUGAACAGGCUGAUUGUUAGUGAGAAGAGCAGCCAUUUCGGAGGCACACUAGUUAAGCCUGAAGAGAGUCCCUGUAGCAGUGCUGAUCAAGUGACUCUCGGAGCCUUAAGCCUGGUUUUUCUGAAAGCAUUAGAGAUAAAAAUCCUGGAUUCUGAAGCUGAAACCCAAGUUCAUUUAGAGAAUGUCAUGUCUCCAUUGCUGAUGUUCUUAAAAAGAUACCUGAGGCCUUCUGCUUGUGUCCACCCAUUGGGGCAUCUCUGCAUGUGGCUUUCUGUGCUGUUUAUAGAACAAGACGAUGACCUGUUUGAAGCUUCAAAAGCCUUAUUAACAAUUCAUGUAAAGAUUGAGAGAGUCUGGCAUGACAUUGGUUCUACUGCGUCCCAUUUGGAUUAUGAAACGUGGACACAUCAGAACGGCUGCAACCCACACUGUAUCUUUUUAUUUCUCCUAAAAAGUAUUGCGUUUGAUGCUACCGUUCUUCUCGAUUUCUUGAUUUCAUCCGAAACCUGUUUCCUGGAGUAUUUUGUAAGAUACCUAAAGUUACUUGUAGAAAACUGGCACCAGUUUGUGCAAAUAUGUAGGUUCCUUAAGCCCACAGCCUACGGAGACACUGGUUUUCCUCUGUUAUCCCAACGUAAAGGAAGUUACCACUUCGACUCAAGUUUACAGAGUGAUUCCUGUGAUCCACAGCCCUGCACUGUGAUGCUUUUGACCACUUCCACGAAACUUUCUUCAUCUUGGCCGAUGGACAGUCAGUCUGCAAGAGCUACCAGGACUACCUUGUUGCAAGGGUUUGACAACACAUCUUUAUUGGAACCCCUUCAGCGUCUGGUUGACUAUGAAAGCUCAGAUGAUUCUGAGACAGAAUGUAUAGGAGAGGAGUGUUUGGCCGAAACAGAACAGCAGUCUUUGAAUCAUCAAUCGUGUCCAGAUGAAAGUAACAUUAUGGAAGUGGAUGAUGAAGCUGGAGCCUCAAAGCAAACUGUAUUAUUUCUGGAUCACGAAAACGUGAAUGCUGCUUCAACCUCUGGCUGCCAAAUAUCCCCAGACAUUCUUGGGUCUGAGGAAGAAAUGCUUCAGAAAUCCGUAAAAUGUUUCCAAGAGCUUCAAGUAUUGGUUUCUAAACUAUACAAAAGAAACCUGUUUCCGUACAAUCCAAAUGCGCUCCUGAAGCUCUUGACCCAAAUUGCAGCAGUCAGCAAAGCAUACAAGUCUAAAGACAUACAAUGCCGACAUCCUAAUGUAUCUCCACCCACUUGUUAGCAUUCGAAAUAAGGUUUCCAGAAGAUUAACAUGUCCCUCAAACGUGUGGCCAAAGUUUAUAGAUGUCUGUCAAGGUGGCUGGGUAACAAAUGUUGACAAACACCAGUGGGUGUUGAGAGACGGUUGAUCAAGUUGCAUAAAGGGGAGCCUCUCGCCUCAAACAGGAACCAACUUGCUACGGUCUUUCUGGAUCCCAUUGGGAAAUCACAUCUGCAAGCCUCAUAAACACAACACUCAGUCACCACAGCUUCUGUGGGAAAGAACUGGAGUGAGGAUGUGCAGCCCAAUGAUGGAUGUAAAACGCAUUGUGUCUCCACCUAAGGUCAGGUUUGCAAGAUGUUUCCUUUCAUUGGAUCAACCCAUUAAAUGCUACCACAGUCUUCUCAACCCUACCAUUUUUAGAGAGAGGGGAAUUUGACUUCGUGGUGUGUAUCUUAAAGAAUGCAACUGAAGGAGUGGAUGGAUUAAUUACAGCAAGGUGUAGGAAUUUAUAUUGGGUGAUAAGCUUGAGACCAUGAAUGUCUCAUGAAUUAAUGCAAAAGUGGAUCUAGGAUUUGGACAAGGAAGCAUGGAGGUUAGUUUUAACAGACAAACAAAGUAAAAUACUCCUGCAAGACGUGAAAUGUGAAAUACACCUAUUGUUCUGUGUAAAAGAUAAAUGUUUUCUAAAGUUAGCUUAGAUUGAGCUUCAUUUUUCUGUCAUUCCAAAAUCUAAAAAUAUCCACAUUGGGUGUCUUCAAUGUGACCUCAGAUCAGUCAUGAACCAGAAUGGAGACAGCGGUCAAGAAACCAGAAGGCUUGGACUUGUAAGAGCAACAGUGAAGGAACUAGAUAAGAUCCUCAAGUGUGAAGAUAUAUUAUUGAAUACUAAAGGCUUGUUCAUGCCAUCAGAUUUCCAGUUUCUAUGUACAGUUGUGAAAGCUUAUGGGGAAAAAAUCAUUUGAAAUGUGCUGAAGAAUUCUACAGACACCACUGACUGCUAAAAAGAUAAAUAAGUGAGUCCUAAAGCAAAGCCUGAACUCUCCAUAGAAGCCAAGAUGACUAAACUGAGACUGUCAUACUUUGGAGAUAUCAUAAGAAGACAUGACUCAAUAGAAAAGACAACAAAUUAGAAGGCAGCAAGAAAUGAAAGAGAAGAAGAUGGCAUUCCUGAUGGAUAGAUUCAGUCAAGGAAACUAUGGUCCUAAGUCUGCAAGGUGUGACUUGGAGGAAUCUCGUUCAUUGGGUCAUUGUUAGUCAUAGUGGGCUUGACGGCAUUUAACAACAGCAUUUUGAAUUGGUUAAUAUGUGCCGUCUUUUCAAAAAAAUCUAAAUCCGCAUGACUUCUUUCAUGAGAAUAUGUUUAAUGUACCAAUUUUAGCAUGCCACUAUUAUUUUUCUUAGUGAAAUCUUAAUAUACCCAAACUUGAAGUAUUCCUUGACCCUCUUGUGCCCUUCUCUCCAAUAGAAUUUUCCAGGUUCAACCAUGGCUGAUGAACUUGAAGCUUGCAUAUUUUCAACUGGCCUUAAGGAAUUGAUGUAAUAUAGAUUUGAGAAUGAUUUGUUAGCUGUAGGUUUCUAGAAACCCCCUCAAAUUCGAAACUCUUUUAGACUUACCUCCUCAUCUUGUCUAGAUUGAUGGUGUAUCUUGUGUAAUCAAGUUCACUCAUACAGCCUACCCUUUUCUCAUUGUUGCACAAGAAAUAGGUUUGGCAGGUACUUUUGUUUCUGAUGAGGCUCAAGAUUAGCCACUCCCAGGCUUGUAAUACAGCUAUCACCAACCUGGUUUAUUUUCAUCAAGUCAUUCGGAAUGGCAAUUGGGCAGGAUAAUGGGAACUGUAAUCUAAAAUAUUGGGUGGGCGCUGUAAUACGAAAAAUUUCUUAAUUUAGAGGGAGACAAUAAGAAUGGCCCCAUGUUCCAAAUCCAAGCUGUAGCUUUCCACAUGACCACCUUUUCAUAAUGCUUCUGUACAAGAAGUAGACAUGAAAAGAAAUGAAGAUGAAUUAUUUCAUAUUCUCAACCAAUGCAGGUUGGGUUUUUGCCUGAAGAAGAAAGACAGUAACCUUAUCCUGAACUUUUAUGUGCAACAAACAGAGAGAAAAUGAAAGCUCUGGCUAUGAGACAACUUAAGACACAAGUGAACACCUAUCUCUUCCGGCAGGCCUAACCAUACCCAGAUGGUUUUAAUGAUGAAUUUUAAACUUCCACACUAUGUCUAACUUUUGUGUAUUUUAAUAUGUAUUUUAUGGAAAUAUGUCUUAAUAUGUGUAUUCUACAGGGUAUUUUAAAAUGAUUAUGUGUUCUGGUUAUGUGUUUUAGCAAUGUUGUAACCCACCUAAAGCUGUGAGGAGAGGCAGGUUAAAAUAAUAAUAAUAAUAUAAUAAUAAUAAU